rnacentral:rRNA from 1 species
UGGGGAAUUUUGGACAAUGGGCGCAAGCCUGAUCCAGCCAUGCCGCGUGAGUGAAGAAGGCCUUCGGGUUGUAAAGCUCUUUCGGCCGGGAAGAAAUCGUAUGGGUUAAUACCCUGUGCGGAUGACGGUACCGGCAUAAGAAGCACCGGCUAACUACGUACCAGCAGCCGCGGUAAUACGUAGGGUGCGAGCGUUAAUCGGAAUUACUGGGCGUAAAGCGUGCGCAGGCGGUUUUGUAAGACAGGCGUGAAAUCCCCGGGCUCAACCUGGGAACUGCGUUUGUGACUGCAAGGCUAGAGUACGGCAGAGGGGGGUGGAAUUCCACGUGUAGCAGUGAAAUGCGUAGAGAUGUGGAGGAACACCAAUGGCGAAGGCAGCCCCCUGGGUCGAUACUGACGCUCAUGCACGAAAGCGUGGGUAGCAAACA